UACGUAGGGGGCUAGCGUUGUCCGGAAUCAUUGGGCGUAAAGAGCGCGUAGGCGGCCAGAUAAGUCCGGUGUGAAAGUCACAGGCUCAACCUGUGAAUGCCGCUGGAAACUGUCUGGCUAGAGUCCGGAAGGGGCGAGUGGAAUUCCUGGUGUAGCGGUGAAAUGCGCAGAUAUCAGGAGGAACACCAAUGGCGAAGGCAGUGUUCUGGGCCAGUACUGACGCUGAGGAGCGAAAGCGUGGGGAGCAAACAGG
rnacentral:rRNA from 1 species